GGAUGAAUAUUGGUCAAUGGGCGAGAGCCUGAACCAGCCAAGUAGCGUGCAGGAUGACGGCCCUAUGGGUUGUAAACUGCUUUUAUACGGGGAUAAAGUGAGCCACGCGUGGCUUAUUGCAGGUACCGUAUGAAUAAGGACCGGCUAAUUCCGUGCCAGCAGCCGCGGUAAUACGGAAGGUCCGGGCGUUAUCCGGAUUUAUUGGGUUUAAAGGGAGCGUAGGCCGGAGAUUAAGCGUGUUGUGAAAUGUAGACGCUCAACGUCUGCACUGCAGCGCGAACUGUUUUCCUUGAGUACGCACAAAGUGGGCGGAAUUCGUGGUGUAGCGGUGAAAUGCUUAGAUAUCACGAAGAACUCCGAUUGCGAAGGCAGCUCACUGGAGC
rnacentral:rRNA from 1 species